AUUGAACGCUGGCGGCAUGCUUUACACAUGCAAGUCGAACGGUAACAGGCCGCAAGGUGCUGACGAGUGGCGAACGGGUGAGUAAUGCAUCGGAACGUGCCCAGUCGUGGGGGAUAACGCAGCGAAAGCUGCGCUAAUACCGCAUACGAUCUAUGGAUGAAAGCGGGGGACCGUAAGGCCUCGCGCGAUUGGAGCGGCCGAUGUCAGAUUAGGUAGUUGGUGGGGUAAAGGCUCACCAAGCCAACGAUCUGUAGCUGGUCUGAGAGGACGACCAGCCACACUGGGACUGAGACACGGCCCAGACUCCUACGGGAGGCAGCAGUGGGGAAUUUUGGACAAUGGGCGCAAGCUUGAUCCAGCAAUGCCGCGUGCAGGAAGAAGGCCUUCGGGUUGUAAACUGCUUUUGUACGGAACGAAACGGUCCUGGUUAAUACCUGGGGCUAAUGACGGUACCGUAAGAAUAAGCAUCGGCUAACUACGUGCCAGCAGCCGCGGUAACAC
rnacentral:rRNA from 1 species